rnacentral:rRNA from 1 species
UACAGAGGGGGCAAGCGUUAUUCGGAAUUAUUGGGCGUAAAGGGCGCGUAGGCGGCCUGGCAAGUGGAAGGUGAAAUCCCUCGGCUUAACCGAGGAACUGCCCUCCAAACUGCUUGGCUUGAGUCCAGGAGAGGUGAGUGGAAUUCCCAGUGUAGCGGUGAAAUGCGUAGUUAUUGGGAGGAACACCAGUGGCGAAGGCGGCUCACUGGACCGGAACUGACGCUGAGGCGCGAAAGCGUGGGGAGCAAACGGG